rnacentral:rRNA from 1 species
AUGAGCAAACCACUAUCACCCAAGUGUCAGGGUUUGUCCACCUAUGAGAAGGAGUACCUGGCCGUGGUAGUGGUUGUGGACCAAUGGCGUCCAUAUCUCCGACACAACGAGUUCAUCAUACAAACUGAUCAGAAGAGCCUAGUGCUCUUAGAGGAACAGAGGCUCACGACCCCUUGGCAGCAAAAAGCAUUCACCAAACUCCUUGGCCUUCGCUACAAUAUUAAGUACAGAAAAGGGACAUAA